AUAGUAUAGCUUUUAUACGGCGAAACUGCGAAUGGCUCAUUAAAACAGUUAUAGUUUAUUUGAUAGUCAUCUGAGAUGAAAGUCUACUACAUGGAUAACCGUGGUAAUUCUAUGGCUAAUACAUGCGCAAAUAUCCUUUUUCGCAAGGAAGAGGAUAGUGUUUAUUAGAUACAGAACCAAUACACCAGUGUCACAGCUGGUGUGAAAAAGGUGAUUCAUAGUAACCGAACGGAUCGCAUUAUGGUCAUUCUUUUGUAAUGGCUGGCGAUAGAUCAUUCAAGUUUCUGACCUAUCAGCUUUCGACGGUAGUGUAUUGGACUACCGUGGCAGUGACGGGUAACGGGGAAUUAGGGUUCGAUUCCGGAGAGGGAGCCUGAGAAACGGCUACCACAUCUAAGGAAGGCAGCAGGCGCGCAAAUUACCCAAUCCUGACUCAGGGAGGUAGUGACAAGAAAUAACAACACUGGAAAUUUUAUUUCUAGUGAUUGGAAUGAUGGGAAUUUAAACCCCUUUCAGAGUAACAAUUGGAGGGCAAGUCUGGUGCCAGCAGCCGCGGUAAUUCCAGCUCCAAUAGCGUAUAUUAAAGUUGUUGCAGUUAAAAAGCUCGUAGUUGGAUGUCUGCUGGAAGCAAUCAGUCCGCCCUAUUUGUAGGGUGUGCACUUGAUGAAUUCUGGCAUUUUUGUCCCAAUGAUGUAACGGGGCGGUGGUACUCGGUGAAAGCCGAGUAUCCUGUUUUCCGAUUAUUGGGAUACUGUUACUUUGAGAAAAUUAGAGUGUUUGAAGCAGGCUAAUUGCCUUGAAUACUGCAGCAUGGAAUAACAAUAUAGGAUUUCGGUUCUAUUUUGUUGGUUUCUAGGACUGAAAUAAUGAUUAAUAGGGACAGUUGGGGGCAUUCGUAUUUAACUGUCAGAGGNGAAAUUCUAGAUAAGGC
rnacentral:rRNA from 1 species